CCUACGGGAGGCUGCAGUGGGGAAUAUUGGACAAUGGGCGAAAGCCUGAUCCAGCCAUGCCGCGUGUGUGAAGAAGGCCUUCGGGUUGUAAAGCACUUUCAGUGGGGAAGAAAGCCUUGGGGCUAAUACCCUCGAGGAAGGACAUCACCCACAGAAGAAGCACCGGCUAACUCCGUGCCAGCAGCCGCGGUAAUACGGAGGGUGCGAGCGUUAAUCGGAAUUAUUGGGCGUAAAGCGCGCGUAGGCGGUCUGAUAAGCCGGUUGUGAAAGCCCCGGGCUCAACCUGGGAACGGCAUCCGGAACUGGCAGGCUAGAGUGCAGAAGAGGAAGGUAGAAUUCCCGGUGUAGCGGUGAAAUGCGUAGAGAUCGGGAGGAAUACCAGUGGCGAAGGCGGCCUUCUGGACUGACACUGACGCUGAGGUGCGAAAGCGUGGGUAGCAAACAGGAUUAGAUACCCGAGUAGUC
rnacentral:rRNA from 1 species